GUGGGUAUAGCUCAGCUGGCAGAGCACCGGAUUGUGGUUCCGGGUGUCGUGGGUUCGAGCCCCAUUACCCACCCCA
rnacentral:tRNA from 4 species